GGUGUAGCUGGCAGAGUACGUCACGCACUCUCGUCCUGCCUCAACAAUGUGCAUUCUUUCCAAUCAAUAAAGCAUAGUACAAUUUAUUUUUUUGAAAAUUUUAUUUUUAAAACUUAUUUCUAACAUUUACAAUUUUCAAUUGAUCAUUCGUAUACAUAAGAUGUCAUUUUCCUUGUGUCAUUAUUGUAAGCUCCCAUGACUAUCGCAGUUUUAUAUUUCUUAAUGUGGUGAAAGUUGGUGCAAUACUUGAGUAAUUACGUUCAUAACUAUCAUUACUAGCACUAGACACGCAAACUAACACUAACAGCCUCGAGCACACCUACAACACUCACGCUACACCAGUAACAAACUCAUUAACAUUAUUCAUGGGGAUCCGCUAAACCCGUAAGGGUUAUAUAGCAUUUGGGUAAUGGGAGUCAGGUUUGAUGAGAUGAAGGGGUUGAUAGUUCCAAUUCCUCGGAUCACGAGCUCUUCUGCGUCAAGGCAUCUCACUCCCCUUGAAGGGAUUUUAGCAAAAUCUUCAGUCUCUACGACGCCAUUUUUCUCAUUUAUAUCACUGUCCAUUCAUCACCAUCUUUAUGUCUACCCAUCGCCUACAAUAUUAGUCGUAUUUUCAGUGUCAACAUUGUACGGCAUUUUGACUCUCGGUUCCAAUUUUGAUAGCAGCGUCUGACACAACGAAUAUCUUCGAAAGUGAAAGUCCUUAAACGACGGUAACACUGCUGCUCCUGGGUCUAGAGCAAUCACAAAAGCGUUAGUAGACCGUAAAUAAAGAAACAACAGGUGUAAAAUAAGGAUAGGCUGCCUGUAGAGGGUGGGGGCUCUAGCGAGUCUUGUCACGAAACUACACAGGUGUAUAUGGUGGAUGGUGGCGGUGGUAGUGCUAGUGGUUUUAGUAGUAGUAGUAGUAAACAGCAGCAAUGGUAGUGACAGUGCCUUGUACUGGAGAUGACAAGGAUCCACCACUGACCACUGCGCAUAUAAAAACACCUGCUUUGUCCUGUCACCAUGGAACUCUCUCUUCUCUCGUCUGCAGGUGACUCAUAGUUCACUGCUGAGAGCAUUCACUUCCAAUCCCUAGGUCCUGGGUUAGGUACCACAAACACGGAGAAACGUUAGGGCAAAUUUACUCUUACUGCUUCUGCUCGCCUAGCAGUAAAAAAAGUGGAUCUGUAAAUUUGUUAGCAAACUGCAGUCCUGCUGGAAAUAUUCGAGUGUUAAACGUAUAGUUAUCUACAGAUUAUUGUGUAUCUAAUAAUAUUAAUUGAAAAAUCCCUUCUCAUCUUUCUCACAUCCAUCUCUCUCUCUUAAAACGAGUUUAGAUGCGAUCAGUCAUGAAUACGGUGAGUCAUUCCAGUAACAUUAACACCUAUUAUUAAUAAUAGUUAUCUUAGAGAGUAGCAAUCACUGGUGAUACUUCUUGGGUUAUAACUCACUGCAGGUCACUUGUCACCCCAGAGGUGUUCAUUGAAUGUAUCAGACAGUAAUUAUUUUACCCCCAUACUCUACACCCCAUCAAAGAAUAUACACAGGUGUACACCUUAACCCUUACUUUCCACCCCACUCUCCAUCGUAUAUAUACAUGUACAAGCAGUAGCUGGUAUAUCAGUAUGUAUAUAACUGUGAUUUAUGCUGACACAGUAAUGCGAAUAUCUCAAAGAAUAUGCAUUAUGAUUUAUAAUCAGUCAAACAAGUUGAACUAUCCUAAAAAUAGAUAAUUUCGAAGUUUUUUAUCAUAUAUUGAUAAAUAUAUUGAUGUGAAUUAAUAUACUGUACAUUUAACAUGAUUUCUGCAUCAAGACUAACGCUGCAACCUAAGUUAACUAUGCAAAAACAAAAUGUAUCCUAGGUCAGCCUAAAUUUAGUUUGUAUUAUUUAACAUCAGUGAAAUAUAUUUUUUGUGAUGUUCAUACUGACUUUCAGAGUUACUGCUGCAAUGCAUUUCAAUUGUGUUGUUUAAUAAAAAUAAUCAGUGUUUUAUAUGCCAAGAUCGCAAACUCUGCCUUAAAAGGCACGACAUUACACACUGAGAGGUGUAUAUCUCAUCAGUGUAUAUACACCGAGAGGUGUAUAUCUCAUCAGUGUAUAUACACUGAGAGGUGUAUAUCUCAUCAGUGUAUAUACACUGAGAAGUGUACAUCUCAUCAGUGUAUAUACAC